rnacentral:rRNA from 1 species
GUUGUAUAGUCAAGUAAUUAAGUGCAUGUGGUGGAUGCCUUGGCAGUCAGAGGCGAUGAAAGACGUGAUAGCCUGCGAAAAGCUCCGGGGAGGCGGCAAAUAUCCUUUGAUCCGGAGAUGUCUGAAUGGGGGAACCCACCUACUUUAAGGUAGGUAUUGCAACAUGAAUACAUAGUGUUGCAAGGCGAACGAGGGGAAGUGAAACAUCUCAGUACCCU